rnacentral:rRNA from 1 species
CUCUCGGGGUUACAGCCUUGCUGAAUUAUUCACCCUUGUCUUUUGCGUACUUCUUGUUUCCUUGGUGGGUUCGCCCACCACUAGGACAAACAUAAACCUUUUGUAAUUGCAAUCAGCGUCAGUAACAAAUUAAUAAUUACAACUUUCAACAACGGAUCUCUUGGUUCUGGCAUCGAUGAAGAACGCAGCGAAAUGCGAUAAGUAGUGUGAAUUGCAGAAUUCAGUGAAUCAUCGAAUCUUUGAACGCACAUUGCGCCCUUUGGUAUUCCAAAGGGCAUGCCUGUUCGAGCGUCAUUUGUACCCUCAAGCUUUGCUUGGUGUUGGGCGUCUUGUCUCUAGCUUUGCUGGAGACUCGCCUUAAAGUAAUUGGCAGCCGGCCUACUGGUUUCGGAGCGCAGCACAAGUCGCACUCUCUAUCAGCAAAGGUCUAGCAUCCAUUAAGCCUUUUUUCAACUUUUGACCUCGGAUCAGGUAGGGAUACCCGCUGAACUUAAGCAUAU